GACGAACGCUGGCGGCGUGCUUAACACAUGCAAGUCGAACGGGUCUGCCCUGUUUUUUGCGGGGUGGGUCAGUGGCGAACGGGUGAGUAACACGUGAGUAACCUGCCCCUCACUUCUGGAUAACCGCUUGAAAGGGUGGCUAAUACGGGGUGUUCUGGCUGUGCCGCAUGGUGUGGCUGGGAAAGAUUCACUUUUGUGGUGUUUUGGUGGGGGAUGGGCUCGCGGCCUAUCAGCUUGUUGGUGGGGUGAUGGCCUGCCAAGGCUUUGACGGGUAGCCGGCCUGGGAGGGUGGGCGGUCACACUGGGACUGAGAUACGGCCCAGACUCCUGCGGGAGGCAGCAGUGGGGGGUAUUGCACAAUGGGCGGAAGCCUGAUGCAGCGGCGUCGCGUGAGGGAUGGAGGCCUUCGGGUUGUGAACCUCUUUCGCCGGUGAAGAAGGUCCUGCUCUUUGUGGUGGGGUUGACGGUAGCCGGGUUAUGAAGCGCCGGCUAACUACGUG
rnacentral:rRNA from 1 species